CCAUGGUUGUGGUGUCCAGUGUCAGAGCAAGCUGUUGGCCCCAAGCCACUGCCUGGCCUCUGUGUCCAUAAGCUGUCAACACUGAAGUGUGUGGUGGAGCA
rnacentral:snoRNA from 1 species